UAGAUCCUACCACAAGUAGAGAUUGAAUAUAUUUUUUUAAAUUGUCAAACUCAGUGCAAUCUUGGCUUUGCCGUGAAAUCAAAACACUUGCGUCGAUGCCUUUUCAAAAACGAACCUGUGUAAGGCAUUCUUAAAAGGACAGCAUCAUCCAAUAAGUUGACACACAGCUCUCUGAUUUCAUUCCACAUCUCUUGUACUAUCGCUUGUCUGUCAUCAUGGCUCCAACCACAAUUAAUUGCAUUACGAAUAAGAUUACCAAAGGUUCGGCUGAGAUAAAUUCUGAUGCAAUAUAGAAGAUGUUUGACAGGACUUCAAUUGCCAUUCCCCUAUGUUCGUUGGAUGACAGGUGCUUAAAGUAUGUUAUGACAGGUUUGCUGUCAACACAGUGAAGACACAGCAAAAAGGCCGCCGCUGAUCGAGUUGGCCAUAAGGUCGGUAACCCUAGAAGUACAAUGUAAGAGAACCAUUCAACAUAAUUACUUUGAAUCUAAGGCUACCUGUCAGGGAUUGGAUUACAUCCACCACUUCCUGGGGUUGGAGAGGCGCAUACAGUAGAAGAAGUAGCUUAGCUAAAUCCUGGGGAUCCGUCAAUUCUGGGCAAUCAAAGACGAUUCCUAUCCACAUUGACCUGUCACAGGGUGCAGCGAAAUCCAAGAAAAGUGAACGCAGAUAUAUUCGCAGACUUCUUUCAACGUUUGCGUUUGUAGAAAUAGGAUUUUUCAUGUAGUCGGCCAGCUAAAAUAAAAAACAGCUUAAGAAAUUUUAAUUCAAAACAUCAAGGGAAUUUUUAGAAGACCGUUGAGCCAAUAUUGUUCCAUUGGCAUAAAAGAG